CUACAAUGAUGUUAAGAUUUUUCCUCAACAGAGUUUACCACCUAGUGACUGUUGAUAACUUUGAGUCCAAGUGA